rnacentral:rRNA from 1 species
UACGUAGGGUGCAAGCGUUAAUCGGAAUUACUGGGCGUAAAGAGCGCGCAGGCGGUCGUUCAAGUCGAGUGUGAAAGCCCCCGGCUCAACUGGGGAGGGUCACUCGAUACUGAUCGACUCGGAAGGCAGGAGAGGGUAGUGGAAUUCCCGGUGUAGUGGUGAAAUGCGUAGAUAUCGGGAGGAACACCAGUGGCGAAGGCGACUACCUGGCCUGUUCUUGACGCUGAGGCGCGAAAGCUAGGGGAGCAAACGGG